CGAACAGAAGGGAGCUUGCUCCCGGAUGUUAGCGGCGGACGGGUGAGUAACACGUGGGUAACCUGCCUGUAAGACUGGGAUAACUCCGGGAAACCGGAGCUAAUACCGGAUAGUUCCUUGAACCGCAUGGUUCAAGGAUGAAAGACGGUUUCGGCUGUCACUUACAGAUGGACCCGCGGCGCAUUAGCUAGUUGGUGGGGUAAUGGCUCACCAAGGCGACGAUGCGUAGCCGACCUGAGAGGGUGAUCGGCCACACUGGGACUGAGACACGGCCCAGACUCCUACGGGAGGCAGCAGUAGGGAAUCUUCCGCAAUGGACGAAAGUCUGACGGAGCAACGCCGCGUGAGUGAUGAAGGUUUUCGGAUCGUAAAGCUCUGUUGUUAGGGAAGAACAAGUGCGAGAGUAACUGCUCGCACCUUGACGGUACCUAACCAGAAAGCCACGGCUAACUACGUGCCAGCAGCCGCGGUAAUACGUAGGUGGCAAGCGUUGUCCGGAAUUAUUGGGCGUAAAGGGCUCGCAGGCGGUUUCUUAAGUCUGAUGUGAAAGCCCCCGGCUCAACCGGGGAGGGUCAUUGGAAACUGGGAAACUUGAGUGCAGAAGAGGAGAGUGGAAUUCCACGUGUAGCGGUGAAAUGCGUAGAGAUGUGGAGGAACACCAGUGGCGAAGGCGACUCUCUGGUCUGUAACUGACGCUGAGGAGCGAAAGCGUGGGGAGCGAACAGGAUUAGAUACCCUGGUAGUCCACGCCGUAAACGAUGAGUGCUAAGUGUUAGGGGGUUUCCGCCCCUUAGUGCUGCAGCUAACGCAUUAAGCACUCCGCCUGGGGAGUACGGUCGCAAGACUGAAACUCAAAGGAAUUGACGGGGGCCCGCACAAGCGGUGGAGCAUGUGGUUUAAUUCGAAGCAACGCGAAGAACCUUACCAGGUCUUGACAUCCUCUGACAACCCUAGAGAUAGGGCUUUCCCUUCGGGGACAGAGUGACAGGUGGUGCAUGGUUGUCGUCAGCUCGUGUCGUGAGAUGUU
rnacentral:rRNA from 1 species